UUUUCUCUUUUCUUGUUUUUAAUUUUCUAAUUUCCCUUUUUUUCCUUGUUUCUGGAGUACCCUUUUGGAAGUUUUAAAGAAAGGCGAGGGCUUUAUAUAUGGAGAUAGGGAAUUCAAACUUGAUCAGCCGCCAUUGAAACAGUAUGACAAGAUUAUCGAGUUGAUAAGAACAAGCUAAUAGCUUAACAGAGGCAUGUCGGUGAUUUUUAGAUUAGAAACAGAGAAUCCAGUUUGGAAUUUUCUUUCUUUUUGUUCUUUAUAUGCAAACCAAGGCAGAGCAGCUUAACUAAAAACCUUUUUUUUUUUAA